rnacentral:rRNA from 1 species
GACGAACGCUGGCGGCGUGCUUAACACAUGCAAGUCGAACGGAAAGGCCCUGCUUUUGUGGGGUGCUCGAGUGGCGAACGGGUGAGUAACACGUGAGUAACCUGCCCUUGACUUUGGGAUAACUUCAGGAAACUGGGGCUAAUACCGGAUAGGAGCUCCUGCUGCAUGGUGGGGGUUGGAAAGUUUCGGCGGUUGGGGGUGGACUCGCGGCUUAUCAGCUUGUUGGUGGGGUAGUGGCUUACCAAGGCUUUGACGGGUAGCCGGGCUGAGAGGGUGACCGGCCACAUUGGGACUGAGCUACGGCCCAGCCCCCUACGGGAGGCAGCGGAGGGGAAUAUUGCACAAUGGGCGGAAGGCUGAUGCAGCAACGCAGCGCGCGGGAUGACGGCAUUCGGGUUGUAAACCGCUUUCGCCUGUGACGAAGCGUGAGUGACGGUAAUGGGUAAAGAAGCACCGGCUAACUACGUG